rnacentral:tRNA from 1 species
GCUUUCCUGGUGUAAUUAGAAGCACGUUUGGCUAGCAGUCAAAAAAUCUGAAGUUCGAAUCUCAGAGAAGCA